rnacentral:rRNA from 1 species
UUGGAGGGCAAGUCUGGUGCCAGCAGCCGCGGUAAUUCCAGCUCCAAUAGCGUAUAUUAAAGUUGUUGCAGUUAAAAAGCUCGUAGUUGAACCUUGGGUCUGGCUGGCCGGUCCGCCUCACCGCGUGCACUGGUCCGGCCGGGCCUUUCCUUCUGGGGAGCCCCAUGGCCUUCACUGGCUGUGGGGGGAACCAGGACUUUUACUGUGAAAAAAUUAGAGUGUUCAAAGCAGGCCUUUGCUCGGAUACAUUAGCAUGGAAUAAUAGAAUAGGA